rnacentral:SRP_RNA from 1 species
GCUGGGUGUGGUGGCAUGUGCCUGUAGUCCUAGCAACUUGGGAGGCUGAGGCAGGAGGAUCGCUUGAGCCCAGAAGUUGGAGGCUGCAGUGAGCUAUGAUCACGCUACUGCACUCCUGUCUGGGCAACAAAGCAAGAUCCUGUCUCAA